CCUACGGUGUGCAGCAGUGAGGAAUAUUGGUCAAUGGGCGCGAGCCUGAACCAGCCAAGUAGCGUGAAGGAUGAAUGCCCUACGGGUUGUAAACUUCUUUUAUAAAGGAAUAAAGUGAGGCACGUGUGCCAUUUUGUAUGUACUUUAUGAAUAAGGAUCGGCUAAUUCCGUGCCAGCAGCCGCGGUAAUACGGAGGAUCCGAGCGUUAUCCGGAUUUAUUGGGUGUAAAGGGAGAGUAGAUGGGGUGUUAAGUCAGGUGUGAAAGUUUGCGGCUCAACCGUAAAAUUGCAAUGGAUACUGGCAGGCUUGAGUACAGUUGAGGUAGGCGGAAUUCGUGGUGUAGCGGUGAAAUGCGUAGAUAUCACGAAGAACUCCGGUUGCGAAGGCAGCCUGCUAAACUGCAACUGACAUUGAUGCUCGAAAGUGUGGGUAUCAAACAGGAUUAGAUACCCCAGUAGUC
rnacentral:rRNA from 1 species